AGAGUUGAUCAUGGCUCAGGAUGAACGCUAGCGACAGGCUUAACACAUGCAAGUCGAGGGGCAGCAUAGAAGUAGCAAUACGUUGGUGGCGACCGGCGCGACGGGUGAGUAACGCGUAUGCAACCUACCUAUCAGAGGGGAAUAACCCGGCGAAAGUCGGACUAAUACCGCAUAAAACAGGGGCACCGCAUGGUGAUAUUUGUUAAAGAAAUUCGCUGAUAGAUGGGCAUGCGUUCCAUUAGGUAGUUGGUGAGGUAACGGCUCACCAAGCCGACGAUGGAUAGGGGAACUGAGAGGUUGGUCCCCCACACUGGUACUGAGACACGGACCAGACUCCUACGGGAGGCAGCAGUGAGGAAUAUUGGUCAAUGGGCGGGAGCCUGAACCAGCCAAGUCGCCGUGAAGGAAGAAGGAUCUAUGGUUCGUAAACUUCUUUUGCAGGGGAAUAAAGUGCAGGACGUGUCCUGUUUUGUAUGUACCCUGAGAAUAAGGAUCGGCUAACUCCGUGCCAGCCGCGGC
rnacentral:rRNA from 1 species